rnacentral:lncRNA from 1 species
UUUCAAUGUCCUCAUUUGCCCACAAGUUUCAGCCAUAUAGCAAUUCUUUAUUCCAUUACAUGCUUUUCUCACUAUUUUCGGAAAGUUUUUUAAGUUUUGUUUGUUAUGUUCAUGCCUUAUGUUUGAACAUGUUAAGUACCUAGGACUGUGUAAUGCUUCUUUCAUAGAUAUCUCUCAUCACAGUGGUAUACUAGUGUUUUUAUUAAAAGUAAGGUACUCUAUCUCGAUACUGGGCUCUAUGCCGGUGCCACCCUGUCACUGUGUUGGUAUGCCUGGUAUAGGGGCCAGUUCGGCAUACAGAGUGUCGGUACGCCUUCUGUACUGUGUAUUGGUACCGAACUAAUACGGUACAGUAUGCUCCGUACUGUGCAGUUCGCUAUGCUCCAUACCGUGCGGUUCGAUACGGUAUGGCAUACCAUGAUCAAAUCAAAAGGAAGCUGUGAUUCUAUUGUGGUUUCUACAAGCUAAUUCACUUUUUCUACAUUUGUGUUUCAUUGGAUUGAAAUGGGUGAAAUAAGUUGCCUUUUUAGUUUGAGAAAGGUAGAGUAUCCACUAUUUUGUUAUUAAGUACUCUC